ACUCAAAGGAAUUGACGGGGGCCCGCACAAGCGGAGGAACAUGUGGUUUAAUUCGAUGAUACGCGAGGAACCUUACCCGGGCUUGAAAUGCAGAAGACGUACCGAGAAAUCGGUAUUCCAGCAAUGGCUUCUGUGUAGGUGCUGCAUGGUUGUCGUCAGCUCGUGCCGUGAGGUGUCGGCUUAAGUGCCAUAACGAGCGCAACCCUUAUCAUUAGUUACUAACAGGUUAAGCUGAGGACUCUAAUGAGACUGCCACCGUAAGGUGUGAGGAAGGUGGGGAUGACGUCAAAUCAGCACGGCCCUUACGUCCGGGGCGACACACGUGUUACAAUGGGGGGUACAGAGGGUCGCUACCACGCGAGUGGAUGCCAAUCUCGUAAAGCCUCUCUCAGUUCGGAUUGGAGUCUGCAACUCGACUCCAUGAAGCUGGAUUCGCUAGUAAUCGCGCAUCAGCCAUGGCGCGGUGAAUACGUUCCCGGGCCUUGUACACACCGCCCGU
rnacentral:rRNA from 1 species